ensembl:lncRNA
AUCCGCGGCCAUCGUGGGGUGUGGCCCUGGGCGUGGCUGCCCCUCUUCCCCAGUGGAGGGCCGCCCCGUUUGGCUGAAAAUCCAGCUGCCUGCGUGGUCGAGGGGUGACGGGGUUAAGCCACCCCUGCAGUGGGGGGGAGGGGAGACAGUUGGGCUGGGCACUGCCUGGCCCUCCGCCCCAAGGUGGGAGGGGGGGCUUUGUUCUCUUCCUUCUUGCAAAACCCCAGCCUGGACUCCUGGGGGCUUCCCUCCAGCCUGCGCCAAGACCAGGGUCUCCUGCCCUGGAGGUGAAGGGUGCGUCUGGAGCCUCAGUUCCUGCAGGCUCUGAUGACCAAGAAAGGGUGCACUGGGGUAUCGGGAACCCUGCCCAUCACUGCCCGUCUCAGGGAGACAGGCCCAGCACCAUCUGCCCCCCCUCCCAAGAAAUGGGACGCCCGCCACCCCCUCCAGGUAGAUGCCCUGCUUCCAGUUCACUCCAUCCAGCGGGCUGGGGCUUCUGGACCGCCCCUGUUAUCUCUGCUGACUCACGUGGCCCUGACGGUGGCUGCGUACGAGCCAGUCAGCCUUUCUUCCCGUGAGCUGCUGCCGAGCCCCAUCUUUCUUGUCCCCUGUGGGGUGGCAGGGCCAGAGAGUGGCCUCUCGCCUCUGAUCAGCUCCUUGCUGCCGGCCAUGGGGCUCAGCCUGGCCCCGUCUCUCACCUGGCAUAGUGCCCAUGCAACACCCACAUGCACACCCAUGGGCCACCCUAGCUUUCAGGGGCUCUUGGCUACUCUGGCCACACAGCAAGUUCUUGUCACGCUGAGGCUGGGAUCCCCAGCUUCUAGCCGCUUCUCUCUGCUGCAUCCCCGCCUCUCUCCUCCACUUCUCACUUCUUUAUGUCUCUGUGUGUGUGAUCCCCGCGGAGGUGAAGCUCGAAAUAUAAAGAACAAAAGAAAUUAAGGCUCCUUGGUGAUGGGACCACCCAGAGAAUCCCGCUCGGCACACCCCAGCCUCAGUCUCCCUGGGUUGCUACCACCCUCUGCCCAGAGGCUCCUCCCCUGGCCCCCCGCACAGCAGAGGCUGCGGCGGCGGCGGCAGCGGCGGCACUCACAGCUCCGCCCAGUGCAGGAGCUCAGUGGCCUACAGGGUGGGCAGCCGCUCACCGCCAGGUGCCUGCUCAGGCCGGGCUCGGGGCUGCCCAGGAAACCAAACCGGACCAGCACCGGCUUUGUCUUCGCGGGGUAUUGGGUUGGUUUUGGUGACUAUCUGCAGGGAAAGGGGCAGCGGGGAUUGAGGAAGGCCUUGCCCAAGGCCUACUCCAGUGGGCAGAGGUGCCCGGGGUGUGCACACCGUUUGGUGGCACCGGGGCUGUGGGACCCUCAGCCUUCCCCCACUUUGAGUGUCAGCCCUCUUGGCCGUCAUGGGAGGGUUCGGACUCAUUAAUCUCCAAGGUCCCUUUUGAGGCAAACGGUCCUUCCUGCCACUCUGAACGGCUGCUGCUGGCCAGGUCACCUGGGGCACUCUUUCUGGCAGUGGGGUGUGGGGCCUGGCCCAAGGUGUGCUGUUAGCUUUUCCCUGACUCCUUGGCAAAAGGUUGAAACAGCUCUGGGGUGAGGAGGGGGCUGGUUCCUGGGUGUGCCCUGGGCCUAGGAGGGCCUGCUCUGGGGGAGAGAGGCCUGGCCCGCACCGCAGUCCACUGCCCUGCUCCGCCUGCCUUCUGUGAUUCAGAUAAUGGGGGAGGCAGGGGCCCUGAAUCCCCCCUCUGAGGUCCCGAGUGCUCUGCCAUCUUUGCCCUGCCUACCCCCCAUAAGGGGCAAGGCUGGGUUGAGGUCGCCUGGCUGGGUGGGGCUUCCUCCCUCCUGCUCCCCCUGGCCUCCCCUUGCUCCAGGCUGGCACCUCUCUCCUCCCUGCCCUGCGGGGGGGGGGCACCCCCACUCCCCCCCUCUCCUGCCCCACCUUCCCCCGGGGCC